GCCGGGUGAGGGGCACGCUGACGCACGACGUUCGAGGAUGGCGGGUCUGGGUGUAACCGCGCGGGGCCGCUGUCUGUACCCGCCUCAGCGGGGAACCCGGCCGGCUUUUCCCUGCCAGAGCUUUUGUGCGAUGACAACCUUAAGCCCCGCGGUAGAGGAGAGCGCUCUGGAGCACACCCCUUUGUCCCUCCAGUCCUUCCCGUGAGGGGCGCUGGCAAGGAGGCGUGUCCGUUGAGGCCGGGCGCUGAGCUGCCGCCCUCGCCUAGGGGCGGAACUCCGUCGCGCUGCACCCCACUGCUGCCGGUUUCCCAGGUAGCCGCGCCUAGAACUUCAGGCCGCUGGCCACCUCCUCGCUCUUUCUCUGUUACACUUCAGCGCAGCACUGGCCAGAGCAAGGACACGAAUAGAACUGGACUUUUCACACGGGAGGGCCAGGCGUUCCCUCGACUCAUUCCGGGAGCCGGGGACACAGGGUGCCGCCCUGCUGCCUUUCAGCCCGGCUCAGCUGGAUCAGGACUGGCUCUGGUCUGGUGAUUAAUCUGGCCUCCAAGUGAUGUGCCCACCGUGGCCUGUGCUUAUAGGAGUGAACUACGUGCCUGGGCAGCGGGUGCUGCUGUACAGGGAACGUGGGGCCCCUUCCUCCCCCUUCCGUCCCAGGCCCGCUGCCAACUUCUCUAGGCUGCCCCUCUCCCACCGCGGUCGGGAAGGCUUCAAAAGCCACCAGCUGAGAGGACCCCGCCCACCCUACCCCACCCUUCCACUGGGCCGCCUGAAGGAAAUGCUGGGCUUCGCCCCUCUGGCGGCGUCCCUGCGGGGUCUGGACCAACUUGCCCUUGACUUCCAUCGCAGGCGCUCCCCACCCCCAAACUCCAAGUCUUGGGCCAUCAGCGAAGAGACUGGUGCAUAACUUCCUGCCUUGGGAACGACUUUAAUACACCCCUUACAGCUUCGCCCUCACCAGACUCUCCGCGGCAGCUCCUGGUCCCUAACCUGGAAGCAUUGAACUCAAAAGUCUGCAACCACUCGUUUGUUGGGCUAAAUGGCCUUGGAACAAGUCAGACACCAGAGCUGAAUUUCAACAGAAGUCGGGAAAGUGAGGACCACUCAGGCAUUUGACCCCAGUGGACCAGAGUAGAGAGGCUGGGAAUUAAGGGCGAUGGCAAGGUUAGUUUUCCCAGAGUUAAUUUGGAGCAUACGUAGGAAAGACCUCAAUUUCCAGGUAGCCAAGGGGGAAACUAAGCCAUUCUGGUUUACAUGUUGUGGUGAACUGUAAAUUUGUGUCAACAUUUGAGUAUUUGGGUAUCUGUAACAAAACCCUGAAAUUCCCUCUCACUGACUUGAGUUCUGCCCUCUGGGGAGACUACAAAGCUUGUUAAGCUGGCUCAAGUCCCUGGAGGAGGGUCUCUGUUUGGCAGAAAGUAGUCAUCUUCCUACCAGGCAGAUUGUGUUGAUGACAUUUAAGAGAUUUGUUUCCUGACCAAGUAAUGAUUCAGAAUGUUCCUCUAUUUUCACCACAUGUCUCAGUCACUUCUUCAUUAGGAAGGAGCCUAAUGAAGCCACACUUCCCUUCCCUGUCCCUCUCCAGUCAGUGGAAUUUUGCCCAGUCUUUCAAGUGCUAUCUACAGGGAUACAGAAGAACUUGUAGUUGUUGGGCUAUUAUACUCUAGGCUACUAUUGCCUUAAAUGAAGGGAGAGGGUCAUGGCCUGAGUUAAAGGAUCUCUGUUAUGACUGCCCCCAACCAAAGGUUUUCCAUAGGUGUGUCUUCCCAGAGAGUCUCAGCUGUGCCUGGUGUCAUUCUAGAUAUAAAUCUCAGUCCCUUGCUUUCUCAGUCCAAUCAAUCAUCAGGCCUGUUGGAGCCUCAGGCCUGGUCUCCUUUGUCCUAAACCCAUGUGGAACUGUCUUCAAGAUGGGUCCAGUUAUGUUCCCUGGAGAACAACUCACUAUAGCAGUGGGUUCAUAGUUUCCUUUCUAGGUAGGAUUUUGACAGAAACAGCAGAAGCAGAGCAGCCAAGAUAAGUAGAUCAAGAUGUGUUUGAACAGUGAAGAAUCUUAAGACUGUCAGAAUCAAAUAAGACCAAGGAGAAACACCUAAAUGUUCUGAUAUCUGCAGUUGCCAAAGUAAACAGCUUGCUAUCUCUAUAGGGAUGGCCACAGUAAAUGGUGCUGCUCUUGUGCAUAAAACUUCUAAUCAGUCUCAGGCCUUCCCAGGCAAAUCUGAGCAGGCAGGCAGAGCUGACCUGGUAUCUCAGGAAAGCCUGGGUCAUGAAAUACAAAGCCACAAUAGAUUUUAUAAAAGCAAGAUGGAAAAAACCAAUCAUGCAGAGAAAGUAUACAUUCAUGAAACUAUCAAUAAUGUCACUUAGGAAAAUUCAAAAGAUAUUACAACACAUUAAGGGAGAACAUAUGAAGAAAAAAGAGUCCCUGGAAACUUAAAAGAUGUUUUCAAUAUAAGGAUUAGAAGGGAAAGUUGAAGAAAACUCCAUGACCAAAACGAAAAGAAGCAACACACACACACACACACACACACAAAAGGAAAAUAAAGAAAAAUUAAAAAAAAAAAAUUAGCCAACCAGAAAGUUUAUUGAUUAAAUAACAGGGCCCCAACAGAGUGACCAGAGAAAGUCAUCAAUGAAUUAAUCCUAGAAAAGUUUUUAUGACCAAAGAACAUGUGUUGAAAGGGCCCACAGAAGGUCCAGCACCAGGGCUGGGGGUAUAGUUCAGUUGGUAGAGUGCUUGCCUUGCAAAUACAAGGUCCUGGGAUCAAUCCCCAGCACCACAAAGGAAAAAAAAAAGAGGUCCAGCACCAUAUCACUGUUUCAGAAUACAGGGUACAAAAAUGUCUUCACAUUACCAGCAGGUUACAUACAAACAAGAUGGAUCAGAAUCCUGCUGUAGGCUUGUGAAUAACAAGUAGAAGUUAGAAAUCAAGGAAAUAAAUCCUUGAGAAAUGGAAAAUUAUUUUCCAACCAUCACUCAUCCAAACUACAAACUAAGUACAGUGAUGAGUCACUUAACAAGGGCAUACUCUGAGAAAAGCAUCAUUAGGCAGUUUCAUCUUUGUGUGAUCACAAAGUGAGCUAAACAAACCUGGUUGGUUUAGGUCAAUCACUCCCUGUGGCCCAUUGAUGCAUUGAAGAAACAUGGUCAACAUAUCAAUGAGUUUGCUGCCAGUGUAGCUCUGGCAUUUGCAAUGCUUUUGAUAAGUUUGGUCCCCAAUCCAUGGUGAUACUGGGAAGUGGUGGACUCUUAAAGAGGUAGAGACUGAUAGGAGGUCUUAGGUGAUUUGAGAUGUGCCCUUAAAGGAAAUAUGGGACUCUCACCCUUUCUCUUCCUCUUACUUUGCUUCUCUCCUCUACUUCAUGCUCCCACCAUGAUGUAUGGUGCCACCACUGACCCAAAGCAACAGGACCAAUUAGUCUUGAACUGAAACCUCCAAAACUCUUUCUGACCAUGAGGUGAGCAGCUUUGCUCCACCGCAUGCACCUGCAUGAUGUGCCACCAUCAGCCCCAAACAACAGGACCAACCAAUAAUGGACUAAAACCUAUAAAACUAUGAGUCAAAAAACAUUUUUCUUUUUAAAAGUUGAUUGUUUAUGGUGUUUGCUAGAGUAAUGGAAAGCUGACUAACACAGAGGGUCAGAGGGGUAAUUGGUAUCUUAUGUGACACCUUCUACACAAUGCAAUGUUAUGCCACUUAAAAAAUACUUACAAUGACCCCUGGGACUGGGGUUGUGGCUCAGUGGUAGAGCGCUUGCCUAGCAUGUAUGAGGCCCUGGGUUCAAUCCUCAGCACCACAUAUGAAUAAACAAAUAAAAUAAAAUAUCCAUUGGCAACUAAAAACAUUUAAAAAAUGCAAUGACCACAAAUUAAUAUGAAAAGAAUGCAUGUCCACCUAUUUCCCUGGAAGGCUCAUUGUGGUGAAGGGGGCACCAUCCUUCUGACGGAAACCAGAGCUCAGGGUUUCUUUCUAAAGUCCUCCCUCCCUUCAUUACCUGUAUCCUAUUUUCACUCACUGUGUGGAGGCCAGGGCCACUCUCAGAGCUCAAGAGGAGCCCCUGUUUGGGGGCUUCCCUGUAGCUGUACUGUUCCCCAUGGAUGAGGGGUCUAUGGGUCCAGGGGACAUGCCUACUCAAAGCCUGUGCCUGUUUUAGACCAUGCAGCAUGUCAAACACCCUCAUGGGUCUCUCUCCAGGGUCUCACGUGCAUACCUGUGGAGACUCUGCAAUUGAUUGAGGCUUCCAGGUCAUCGUGAAAGCUUGUGUGUCAAGGAAAAUUAAGAGUUUGUCUGGAUUAGCCUUCACUCUCCUACAUGACGAUGCUGUGAUAUUGUAAUAUAAUAAGAAAUAUGUAUUUGGUCUAAUAUAGUUUGGACCUGGAAUGUUCCCCAAAGGCCCUUGUGUUGAAGGCUUGGGCCUCCAACCUGAUGGUACUGGAAGCUGGUGGAAACGUAGGAAAGUGAGGCCUAGUGAAAGGAAGUUAGAUCACUGGACACAUGUCCUUGAAGAGGAUGUGGGAAUCCAAGACUCUUUCUGUCUCUUUGUUUCCUGGCCACCAUGAGAUGAGCAACUUUGCUCUACCAUAUGCUUCCCACCAUGAUGUUCUGCUUUGCCACAGGCCCAAAGGCAGUGGAAACAACCAACCAGGACUGAAACCUCUGAAACUGUGAGCCAAAAUAAAUUUUUCCUCCUUAUAAAUAGAUUGUCUCAGGUAUUUUGUCACAAUAAUGGAAAGCUAACUAACAUAAUUUUUAUGGUCAGUCCCUCACUCCCUUGCCUUUCAUGGAAUAUAGCUCCUCAAACCCAAGGCAUCUCUGGAGGGAUAAGUGUCUUUUUGUGCACUAAUGAGGUAACUACUGGCCAGAGAAUGUAGUUUGGUUGCCAGGGGAACCAACCACAGGAUUAAAAAACUUGAAUUUUCAGCCCCACCUCCAAACUGUGGGGAAGAGAGAGGGGCUAAAGGUUGAGUUGAUCACCAAUGGCCAAUGAUGUAAUCAAUCAUGUCUAUGUAAUAAAGUUUCCAAAACACCACACAGGGACAGGAUUUCAAGAGCUUCCAGCUGCUGAAAAAAAUGGGGGUACCUGGAGGGUGGAUGGCCUUGUGGGGGACAUGGAAGCUCCUGUAACUUCCCAUAUACUUGCCCUAUAUAAUUUCUUAUACAAUAUCUUUUAUAAGAAACGAGUUAAUAUUAAAUAAAGUGUUUCCCUGCCUUCUGUGA